rnacentral:rRNA from 1 species
UACGGAGGGUGCAAGCGUUGUUCGGAAUCAUUGGGCGUAAAGCGCGUGUAGGCGGCUUGGUAAGUCGGGUGUGAAAUCCCGGGGCUCAACUCCGGAACUGCAUACGAAACUGUCUCGCUAGAGUCCCGGAGAGGAAGGCGGAAUUUCCGGUGUAGAGGUGAAAUUCGUAGAGAUCGGGAGGAACACCAGCGGCGAAGGCGGCCUUCUGGACGGUGACUGACGCUGAGGCGCGAAAGCGUGGGGAGCAAACAGG